GAUGAACGCUGGCGGCGUGCUUAACACAUGCAAGUCGAGCGGAAGGACCCGGCGUUUGUUUGUUUGACGUUUGGGGAGCGGGUGAGUGACACGCGAGGAUCCUGCCCCUGACUGUGGGGUAACUUCACGGGACAGGGGCGAAUACAGGGGAUAAUCUCUUGCUGCGUGGGGGUGGUAGGAGAGUGUCGGCGGUUGGGGAUGGACUCGCGGCUUAUCAGCUUGUUGGGCGGGUAGUUGCUUACCAAGGCUUUGACGGGUAGGCGGCCUGAGAGGGUGACCGGCCACAUGGGGACUGCGAUACGGCGCAGACUCCUACGGGAGGCAGCAGUGGGGAAUAUUGCACAAUGGGCGGAAGCCUGAUGCAGCAACGCCGCGUGCGGGAUGACGGCCUUCGGGUUGUAAACAGCUUUCGCCUGUGACGAAGCGUGAGUGACGGUAAUGGGUAAAGAAGCACCGGCUAACUACGUG
rnacentral:rRNA from 1 species